rnacentral:rRNA from 1 species
GACGAACGCUGGCGGCGUGCUUAACACAUGCAAGUCGAGCGGAGCGGCGAACGGGUGAGUAACGCGUGAGUAACUGCCCCCCUCUCUGGGAUAACAGUUGGAAACGGCUGCUAAUACCGGAUAGUGGGGGAUGACUCGCGUCCUAUCAGCUUGUUGGCGGGGUAGUGGCCGACCAAGGCGACGACGGGUAGACGGCCGGAGGGGGCGACCGGCCACAUUGUGCUGAGAUACGGCCCAAACUCCUACGGUACGCAGCAGGGGGGAAUAUGGCACAAUUGGGGAAACCCUAAUGCAGCACCGCCGCGUGCGGGAUGACGGCCUUCGGGGUGUAAACCGCUUUCAGCCAUGACGCGGUAGUGGCAGAAGAAGCACCGGCUAACUACGUGCCAGCAGCCGCGGUAAUAC